rnacentral:tRNA from 1 species
GGAUUGUGGCUCAGUGGUAGAACGCUUGCCUAGCAUGUGUGAGGCCCUGGGUUUGAUUCUCAGCACCA